UUGAAACACCGAUUUCCGUACGAUCACCGAAGUUAAGCAACGUAGAACCUAGUCAGUACCUAAAUGGGUGACUGCUUGGGAAUACCGGGUUCUGCAAG